UACGAAGGGGGCGAGCGUUGUUCGGAUUUACUGGGCGUAAAGGGCGCGUAGGCGGCCUUGUCAGUCAGGCGUGAAAGCCCCGGGCUCAACCUGGGAACUGCACUUGUGACUGCAAGGCUGGAGUGCGGCAGAGGGGGAUGGAAUUCCGCGUGUAGCAGUGAAAUGCGUAGAUAUGCGGAGGAACACCGAUGGCGAAGGCAAUCCCCUGGGCCUGCACUGACGCUCAUGCACGAAAGCGUGGGGAGCAAACAGG
rnacentral:rRNA from 1 species